CCGAGAUUCCGGUAGUAGCGGCGAGCGAACCUGGAUUAGCCCUUAAGCACUCGGUGAAGUAGGUGAACAAGCUGGAAAGCUUGGCGAUACAGGGUGAUAGCCCCGUAACCGACGCUUCAUCGAGCGUGAAAUCGAGUAGGGCGGGACACGUGAUAUCCUGUCUGAAUAUGGGGGGACCAUCCUCCAAGGCUAAAUACUCCUGACUGACCGAUAGUGAACCAGUACCGUGAGGGAAAGGCGAAAAGAACCCCUGUGAGGGGAGUGAAAUAGAACCUGAAACCGUGUACGUACAAGCAGUAGGAGCACCUUCGUGGUGUGACUGCGUACCUUUUGUAUAAUGGGUCAGCGACUUAUAUUCAGUGGCAAGGUUAACCGUAUAGGGGAGCCGUAGCGAAAGCGAGUCUUAACUGGGCGCUCAGUCUCUGGAUAUAGACCCGAAACCGGGUGAUCUAGCCAUGGGCAGGUUGAAGGUUGAGUAACAUCAACUGGAGGACCGAACCGACUAAUGUUGAAAAAUUAGCGGAUGACUUGUGGCUAGGGGUGAAAGGCCAAUCAAACUCGGAGAUAGCUGGUUCUCCCCGAAAGCUAUUUAGGUAGCGCCUCGGACGAAUACUACUGGGGGUAGAGCACUGUUAAGGCUAGGGGGUCAUCCCGACUUACCAACCCUUUGCAAACUCCGAAUACCAGUAAGUACUAUCCGGGAGACACACGGCGGGUGCUAACGUCCGUCGUGGAGAGGGAAACAACCCAGACCGCCAGCUAAGGUCCCAAAGUAUUGCUAAGUGGGAAACGAUGUGGGAAGGCUCAGACAGCUAGGAUGUUGGCUUAGAAGCAGCCAUCAUUUAAAGAAAGCGUAAUAGCUCACUAGUCGAGUCGGCCUGCGCGGAAGAUGUAACGGGGCUAAGCAAUACACCGAAGCUGCGGCAAUAUCUUUUAGAUAUUGGGUAGGGGAGCGUUCUGUAAGCCGUUGAAGGUGAAUCGUAAGGUUUGCUGGAGGUAUCAGAAGUGCGAAUGCUGACAUGAGUAACGACAAAGGGGGUGAAAAACCUCCUCGCCGGAAGACCAAGGGUUCCUGUCCAACGUUAAUCGGGGCAGGGUGAGUCGACCCCUAAGGUGAGGCCGAAAGGCGUAAUCGAUGGGAAACGGGUUAAUAUUCCCGUACUUCUGACUAUUGCGAUGGGGGGACGGAGAAGGCUAGGUGGGCCAGGCGACGGUUGUCCUGGUUCAAGUGCGUAGGCUUGAGAGUUAGGUAAAUCCGGCUCUCUUUAAGGCUGAGACACGACGUCGAGCUGCUACGGCAGUGAAGUCAUUGAUGCCAUGCUUCCAGGAAAAGCCUCUAAGCUUCAGAUAGUCAGGAAUCGUACCCCAAACCGACACAGGUGGUCGGGUAGAGAAUACCAAGGCGCUUGAGAGAACUCGGGUGAAGGAACUAGGCAAAAUGGUACCGUAACUUCGGGAGAAGGUACGCUCUUGAUGGUGAAGUCCCUCGCGGAUGGAGCUGACGAGAGUCGCAGAUACCAGGUGGCUGCAACUGUUUAUUAAAAACACAGCACUGUGCAAAAUCGCAAGAUGACGUAUACGGUGUGACGCCUGCCCGGUGCCGGAAGGUUAAUUGAUGGGGUUAGCGCAAGCGAAGCUCUUGAUCGAAGCCCCGGUAAACGGCGGCCGUAACUAUAACGGUCCUAAGGUAGCGAAAUUCCUUGUCGGGUAAGUUCCGACCUGCACGAAUGGCGUAAUGAUGGCCACGCUGUCUCCACCCGAGACUCAGUGAAAUUGAAAUCGCUGUGAAGAUGCAGUGUACCCGCGGCUAGACGGAAAGACCCCGUGAACCUUUACUACAGCUUGGCACUGAACAUUGAACCUACAUGUGUAGGAUAGGUGGGAGGCUAUGAAGACGUGACGCCAGUUGCGUUGGAGCCGUCCUUGAAAUACCACCCUUGUAUGUUUGAUGUUCUAACUUAGACCCGUUAUCCGGGUUGAGGACAGUGCCUGGUGGGUAGUUUGACUGGGGCGGUCUCCUCCCAAAGAGUAACGGAGGAGCACGAAGGUGGGCUAAUCACGGUUGGACAUCGUGAGGUUAGUGCAAUGGCAUAAGCCCGCUUAACUGCGAGAAUGACGGUUCGAGCAGGUGCGAAAGCAGGUCAUAGUGAUCCGGUGGUUCUGUAUGGAAGGGCCAUCGCUCAACGGAUAAAAGGUACUCCGGGGAUAACAGGCUGAUACCGCCCAAGAGUUCAUAUCGACGGCGGUGUUUGGCACCUCGAUGUCGGCUCAUCACAUCCUGGGGCUGAAGUCGGUCCCAAGGGUAUGGCUGUUCGCCAUUUAAAGUGGUACGCGAGCUGGGUUUAGAACGUCGUGAGACAGUUCGGUCCCUAUCUGCCGUGGGCGUUGGAAGAUUGAAGGGGGCUGCUCCUAGUACGAGAGGACCGGAGUGGACGAACCUCUGGUGUUCGGGUUGUGUCGCCAGACGCAUUGCCCGGUAGCUAAGUUCGGAAUUGAUAAGCGCUGAAAGCAUCUAAGCGCGAAGCGAGCCCUGAGAUGAGUCUUCCCUGAUACUUUAAGUAUCCUAAAGGGUUGUUCGAGACUAGAACGUUGAUAGGCAGGGUGUGUAAGCGUUGUGAGGCGUUGAGCUAACCUGUACUAAUUGCCCGUGAGGCUUAACCA
rnacentral:rRNA from 1 species